rnacentral:rRNA from 1 species
AACGAACGCUGGCGGCAGGCCUAACACAUGCAAGUCGAGCGAGGACUUCGGUUCUAGCGGCGGACGGGUGAGUAACGCGUGGGAAUGUGCCCUUCUCUACGGAAUAGCCCUGGGAAACUGGGAGUAAUACCGUAUACGCCCUAUUGGGGAAAGAUUUAUCGGAGAAGGAUCAGCCCGCGUUGGAUUAGGUAGUUGGUGGGGUAAUGGCCUACCAAGCCGACGAUCCAUAGCUGGUUUGAGAGGAUGAUCAGCCACACUGGGACUGAGACACGGCCCAGACUCCUACGGGAGGCAGCAGUGGGGAAUCUUAGACAAUGGGGGCAACCCUGAUCGAGCCAUGCCGCGUGAGUGAUGAAGGCCUUAGAGUUGUAAAGCUCUUUCAGCUGGGAAGAUAAUGACGGUACCAGCAGAAGAAGCCCCGGCUAACUCCGUG